rnacentral:lncRNA from 10 species
GGAGGCUGAAGCAGGAGAAUCGCUUGAACCCGGGAAAGGGAGAUUGCAGUAAACCAAGAUCGUACCACCACACUCCAGCUUGGAUGACAGAGCGAGACUCUGUCUCAAAAAAAAAAAAAAAAUUCAUGUGACAAUUGUAUGAUUCCACUUAUAUGAGGUACUUAGAAUAGUUAAAUUCACAGAGACAGAAAGUAGAACAGUGGUUAUCAGAGGCCAAGGGGAUGGAGGAGCUGCUCACGGCGAGUUAUUGCUUCAAGGGUACAGAGUUUCAGUUUGGGAUGAUAAAAAAUUCUGGAGCUGGUUGGGAGUGAUGAUUGCACAACAGUGUGAAUGUACUUAAUGCCACUGAACUGUACACCUAAAAUGGUUAAACAGUAAAUUUUAUGUCAAAUAUAUUUUACCAUAAUAACAUUUUUAAAAAUUGAUGGGAAAUAUUAUUUUGCAAUGGAAUAGUUGCAAGUUGUUUGUUAAUUGUUCAAACCACCUUGGUACUUGCUCAUUUGGUUGAGGGAGAUUAGAGGGAAGAAAUUGCAAAAGAUGUUUUGCUAGUGUGUACUACAAGAUUUCAGAUGACUUGUUGCCUGGUAUAGUAGCUGCACUUCUUUAAACUUUGCUAUACUGUAUAUACAGCCAGGAAUGUUUUUCUCAAGGACAUGGCAGCUACCUCUUUGAAAUAAAAUCUUCAAGGGAGAUAGUUUUCCUAACUCUUACUUUUGUGGGAGGGUAGGAGUCUAACUUCAGUGGGUAUCUUGCUCCAAGCUGCAAAACUGCCUCCUGUCUUAGAGAUAUGAAACAUCUGUUUCUUCUUUGGAUAAAGCCAACUAGCAAACAAAGACCACCCCCAAUUAACAGAUACAUUUAAGAUGGACUAUAUGUGAUGAAUGAUGCUGUCAACUCCUCUUACUUGGGGACAAGUUAUCAUUUAUCAUAAGAAUAUGUAUGUCAUAGAUUGCAUCUGCUUGACAUCACAAAAUAUACCAGGAAAAAAGGGUGAAAUGUAUCCCUUUCUUGGUUGGGUGCGGUGGCUCAUGCCUGUAAUCCCAGCACUUUGGGAGGCAAAGGUGGGUGGAUCACCUGAGCCCAGGAGUUCCAGACCAGCCUGGGCAAUAUGGUGAGACCCCCCACCGUCUCUACAAAAAAUACAAAAAUUAGCUGGGUGUGAUGGCAUGUCCCCUGCACUCCCAGCUCCUUGGGAGGCUGAGGUAGGAGGAUGGAUUGAGCCUGAGAGGUCAAGACUGCGGUGAGCUAUGUGAUUGUACCACUGCAUUCCAGCCUGGGUGACAGAGUGAGACCCUUUCUCAAAAAAAAAAAAAAAA